AAGGACUCCUCUUCCCACUUGGAGCCGGUCUCCAGGGCAGAUCUUCCGGGCGACUCGCCCUGUAAGAAAUUAGAAAAUGCUACAAUAAAACCAGAAAAACUGAAAAAAAAAUGUGGCAACUUUAAUAAUGAAAGCGCUCACGUUUCCCAGCGUAAACACACGCCCCUUUAGUUGGAAGUCACCGAAAGACAGCGAAGUACCACAGAUCAUUCAUGGAAAGCCGUCUUCUAUAUUAAAAAUGCCACUGCUAGUACAACACAAGGGGAAAGGAAAAUAAUCAAAGGGGAAAUUUGAACUAUCUCCAAAGAUGCAGCAGCCUUCUAUUGAAAGGGCUCUUUCCGAGUCACCAGAUGACUCCUAAUCUGGAGUGGCACUUCUUGGCACAGCUCCAACACCAACUCCUUGAAAGGUAAAAAAAUUUUAGAGCCCAAUUUAUUAGUAUGCAGUUCUGGCAUCGGGUAGAGAAUUAAUGGCGGUGACUGAUAAUGACUGUAAUCGUGGCACAAAUGGGGUGUUGAAAUAGCAAACAACGGGCACAAGGCAUGUAAUGGGGAUUUUAUUAAUUACCCGAGGUCCCUAGCAUGAGCAGUCUCCAGGAUUUACUGUGGCCAUGCCAGCCGGUCGAGAAGGGGUCGGCCAGUCUAAUCUGACAAUGAAAGGGUCACUACAGAGACUGCAGUGUGGGCAAAAGGGAGUAAUGUGGCACGCUACUGCGCUUGCUUUAAAACUAUAAUAUUAUGAGACCUACUAGUUUUGGAAAGACAAGAAGGGUUGUAGUCAGCUGACUUAUUUAUUGGGGUUUGGAUCAUAUUCAACAUCACAAUCCUUGAGUACAGUACUUUUCAGUGAGUGGUUACAAAGAGCAGGACUAGAAAAAAGAGGCAAAUUUGAUCAUUCAGCAAGUGUUUAGUCCCAGAAGAAAACAGAUAAGAAGACCAGAAACAAGUGAGAUAGAUUACCCUGUUUGGUCAGAGUAUUUUGAUUAAGUUAUAUAGUAAAUACAUUCACCUACAAUGAAAUAAGCUCCCUCUAUCUCUUUGUUGGCUAUUAGAAAAAGAAAUCAACAUAUGGUGGCACUGUCAGGUAGGAUAGCCCAUUCACACAUCAACUCAUCAACAAGAGAGGAUUGAUUAAAAGUCCUUUUUAUUACUCACUGCAUCCUUAAUGGACGCUAGACUUUCAAAAUGGAAGAAACAAUUAGAGUUUUACUGCUUUGUGGGCACUACUGAUUUAUAUAAAUCACUGCACGGGUGUAAAUUUUCCAAUAAAAGACUGAACCACUCCUAGCAUACAUAAUCAACAUGUCCACACUUUGUUCUCACUCUAGAGUUGCACAAUCUCUUUAAAUUGGUAGGACUCAACAGUCACACCAAUUCAAGCAUCAAGCAUCAAGCAACACCCAAUCAACAGAUUGGGUGUUGCUUGAUGAAAAUUUCUAAACUGUUUCUAUAUGCUUUACCGCUGCUCAUCAUACCCAGUGCUUUAGGGCCAAAAAGACAAACAAGGCAAACAAACAUGGCUAUGACUACUUACACUUCAGUGUUGAAUGAAGAUGAAAUUAAAUUAAGUUUACUCUAGUUCAUAUAGAGCAGUUAAUAUGAACCCUGGAGAGAUUUACCCUAUAACGGCCAGGACACACUGGCCAUGUCUGCAGCGCGUUGUUCGCCAUGGACCAUCUUGUAGUUCACCGCCCAUGUUAACAGGUAGCAGCCACACUGCCUAUUGAGAUCCUUUUGAGAAAGAGAUUUAUUUGGAGUCAUUUUGAUGCCAAAUGGAAUGACAGGUAUCGUAUUAUUAUAUGGUGAUGAUAAGGGUUCUUGAAAGUUUGCCUUAUGAGGACAAAUAGCCAGUAUGAACCUCAUAAAGUGAGCGUAGGGUUAAUGUGGUCACUGUCAUACCCUCAGUUGAAACUUAGAAUAGGUGGGGCCAUGCUGCGCAAUGCCCAAUAUAAAAAUGAAACUCCCUGGAAUAUUAUAUAUUUCAAAUUUGGCUGGGUGCUUAGAUGCAAUUAAAGUGAUACUUUGUGAAAUGUAUCUUUGGAGUAUCAAAUAACCACCAUCUGUAGAGCUGAAGAGUUUUGAAGUUUUUAUCCUCAUUGAUAAAGUGGUGGUCGUCAGAUCAAAAUAGGGAAAAGUUUUCAUGGAAGAAAAAGGGUAUUAGAGGUCAGCGUCAAAAUACAAGCAGUACACUUAAACCUUAAAAACAUGUUGCAAUUGGAAUCCAUUGCAGUCUACAUGGAUUUAAGUUUUCGUUCUCAAAAUAAGUGAAGCCAUGACAACUUUGGCUCUUAAAGUCCAUCACAGUGGCACAGGUGCAGUUUGAACGAAAUGAAAACAAACCUGUAGAUCUAAUAAAGUAACUAUUUGUCCUGAUUUGUAUUAAAUGCCCAGAGAGUAAAGAAAGAAAAAGCUUGCCCAGAUUCUUCUUUUCCUCUUUUCACACAAACAUAGAUGCAUACACACACCCUGAAACUAGACAGCUGUAUUGUGAAAUCACUUCUGAAAAGACUUUGAAAUCAUUGAUAAAUGAAUUAAACCGUGAGAUCUAGUGUGAUUAUGUUAGAAGCGUGGGGCAGGCACAGGAAUGCGUCAUCCACAAUGUAACAUUAACAUUCUUAAUACUGAUGUGAAGUGUUUUCAGUUCAGUGAGUAAAAAUCCUCAAACCUGGCUAUUUUUCUGUCAGCAAAGACUCUGAAGUAAAAAAAUAACUAUACAUAAAGUAAGGGGACCAGCUGGCACAUUGCCUUUUAUAGGAAGGAUGAUGAACGUGGAUGCCUUUUUGCUCAAGUCACAUUGCGUGACAAAGGUGUGUGUAUAUUGUACAGUAUAUUUAUCUCAUACCCAUGCCCCAGGGCAACUGUCGGUAACAUAACCUCAGAAAAUCUCACCAUUCAGGUUCAUAUUUUCUCUUUUUGUCCUGCACUUGCUUUAUAAUGUGAGUCGUUUCCAUUGCUCUCAAAACAUGUUUUUUUUUUUUUUUAAAGCUCAAUUUUCAGGCUCAAUUUUCAUAAAUAGUUUUCUUUUACCAUAACUUGAGUAACCCUCUGUAUACUAAAUGAUCUUUGAAACAAUAAAUUACAAUCUGGAGACCACCAGAAAAGCCACUGACUGCCCACACUAUGUAUCAAAGACAAACAUUUUUAUCUUCCGUGUAAGCUUAUAACAUUUAGUUUGCAACAAUGUUUGAUAUAAAAUAUACAACACUGCAAAUGCCUUGCGUUAACGUUUCUCUGAGAGAGGGAUUGAUUUUAAAGAAACUUCUUUGGUUUUCAUCACUCAAUAAAUGUUCAUCACCUGAUCAAGUGGCUUCACAUGGGCACAACACGCACAGUCACUGAACAGUUAACACAUUUCUGCUCCUGUGAUUGCUGUUUUAUCACCAAAAUCAAAAUAUGCAGUUUUUUAGAACCUUCCCUCAUUCGCAUGUUCUGACAAGGCUUUCACAAGUGGCUUGGCUCUAGGUUGUGUUUAUAGUAUUACUGUGUUCUUUAGUGUACCUUGUUUUUAUUUAAACAUUGUUUUUUAAGAUUGUUGAA